rnacentral:rRNA from 1 species
UAAUACGGGGGGAGCGAGCGUUGUUCGGAAUUACUGGGCGUAAAGGGCGUGUAGGCGGAUAGGAAAGUCGGGUGUGAAAUACAUCGGCUCAACCGAUGAAUUGCAUUCGAAACUGCCUAUCUAGAGUACAGAAGAGGAAGGUGGAAUUCUUGGUGUAGCGGUGAAAUGCGUAGAUAUCAAGAAGAACACCGGUGGCGAAGGCGGCCUUCUGGUCUGAUACUGACGCUGAGGCGCGAAAGCGUGGGGAGCAAACAGGAUUAGAUACCCUGGUAGUCCACGCCGUAAACGAUGGGCACUAGGUGUUGGAGGUAUUGACCCCUUCAGUGCCGAAGCUAACGCAAUAAGUGCCCCGCCUGGGGAGUACGAUCGCAAGGUUG